AACAGCCCAGCCCUGACCCUGCAGCUCUGAGACAGCAGCCCAGCCCUGGAUUCCCAGCUGUUCCUGGAGUCUUGUCAGGACAAAACACAGACCACUCACCAUGGGGUUUGGACUCAGCUGGGUUUUCCUUGUUGCUGCUUUAACAGGUGUCCAGUGUGAAGUGCAGCUGGUGGAGUCUGGGGGAGGCUUGGUGAAGCCUGGGGGCACCCUGAGACUCUCCUAUGCAGCCUCUGGAUUCACCUUCAGCAGCUAUGAAAUGAACUGGGUCUGCCAGGCUCUGGGAGAGGGGCUGGAGUGGCUUGCGUACAAUACUGAGAGUGGUGGUAGCACAUACGACGCUAACUCUGUGAAGGGCCAAUUUAUCUCCAGAGACAAUGGCAAAAACAUGCUCUACCCGCAAAUGAACAAGCUGAGAGCUGAGGACACAGCUGUGUAUUACUGUGCGAGACCUUUCUCCAAGUUGCUUUUAUUAGCUUCAAAGUCAUUCUGCAUCCUUUGA